rnacentral:rRNA from 1 species
AGUGAACGCUGGCGGCGUGCUUAACACAUGCAAGUCGAACGAGAACGGAUUAUAGCUUGCUAUAAUUGUCAGCUAAGUGGCGCACGGGUGAGUAAUGUAUAGGUAUUAUGCCUCUUACUAAGGGAUAACAAAUGGAAACGUUUGCUAAUACCUUAUACUCCUUAUUAACAGAAGUUAAUAAGGGAAAGAUUUAUUGGUAAGAGAUUAGCCUGUAUUGUAUCAGUUAGUUGGUGGGGUAAUGGCUUACCAAGACUAUGACACAUAACUGGUUUGGGAGGAGGAUCAGUCACACGGAAACUGAGACAGGGUCCAGACUCGUACGGGAGGCAGCAGUGGGGAAUAUUGCACAAUGGACGAAAGUCUGAUGCAGCAAGGCCGCGUGGAGGAUGACACAUUUCGGUGCGUAAACUCCUUUUAUAUGAGAAGAUAAUGACGGUAUUAUAUGAAUAAGCACCGGCUAACUCCGUGCCAGCCGCCGCAGUAA